rnacentral:rRNA from 1 species
UACGAAGGGGGCUAGCGUUGCUCGGAAUCACUGGGCGUAAAGCGUGCGCAGGCGGUGAUGUAAGACAGAUGUGAAAUCCCCGGGCUCAACCUGGGAACUGCAUUUGUGACUGCAUCGCUGGAGUGCGGCAGAGGGGGAUGGAAUUCCGCGUGUAGCAGUGAAAUGCGUAGAUAUGCGGAGGAACACCGAUGGCGAAGGCAAUCCCCUGGGCCUGCACUGACGCUCAUGCACGAAAGCGUGGGGAGCAAACAGG